AAGCAUGCAUCAGCCACAUCCAUGCUAUCUCCUAAAGCAGUCAUUCUGAAACCCAAUCUGGGGACAGUGCAGACUAAAUAAAAUUUCAUUUUGAUUUGGCCUCCCGCUGAGAAUGGGACUGCUUUGUUUCAGCCGACAGAACCAGCAAGCCAGAAAGGUGUUGAAUACACAAAUACUGACUUAACGGAAAAUUAUGUUUUGUUUCAAAAAUAUGGAAGCUGCAUCUGACCUAAUUGACCAAAAGUGCUUUUCUUCAGGAAACAGUGCAAAAUAUCUUCUUUUCGAGGCGAAUGAAUUUGGGGACUGGUGAGAGAGAGAAAGGGUGAUUGUGGUGGAGGAAAUAUUUUUAUCCAGGCCUCAGGAAACAGUGGUCUGGCUGCAGUGGUGCCGAUGGUUACAUGAACAGAAUUUGCUCAGGGCAAAGCCUGCCAUCACUUACGUCUGCCCCCAAACUCCUGGACUGCAAGAACUAAUGUCAAUAUCCACCUGGAAAUAUCCUGUGAGGAAGGGCUGUGAAAGCUGCUACCCUGAAAUAACCCUUCAAGCUCAAGUGAGGUGAAUACUUACAACAGAGGCAAUGUGGCAUCCUGAAGUUUGCAAAAAUCCUGCAGAUUUUCUGAAGGAAGGCAUAGGAAGAGGACUGCACUUGAACCCCAUCCAUUUUCAGAACAAAGAAUCUGACUUUGAGAUAUGAAGAAACUGCAGCAAAGGGCCCCCAUCUGCCCCACAGAGGGGAUGGGGAAUGUGACACAUUUGUCUGUGCUCAGGACAUAUCAUGGACACAGCGGCCUGUUGAUAAAAAGAAGCAAUAUUGUUGGGAUGCCUAGGAUUUCAAAAUAUUACUUCAUAUUAAGCAAAAAACACAUCUUAAGGCACACAUUAUGGGUCCAGAAGAACACAUCUUUCAGUCUUUGAGAGGUGUUUAAAAUACUCUGGCAGAUGAAGAAACAUGCUUUUGAGGAUCUUAUUAUUUGACUUGGAAGCUACCUCCAGUGUUUACCUAGAUGAUUAUCAAUAUGCAAUUUGGAUUUGGCUUGCUUGAUGCUGGACGAUUAAUGAAGGAAGCCCUAACUGGACAAAUGUUGGUCCCCUGAGACAAUGUGUUGUUGAUAACAGAAAAGGAUUGACAAUAAGAUGUGGAUGUUCAUCUUUAAUGAACUCUAGUCAUCAAGUGGAAACCCGCUAAAUUUGAAGAUGCAAUUGAGCACCUUCUCAGCAAUAGCCGAAUACUUACUCCUCAAAAUGAGCAAGCCUGUUAACUGUGGAUGUGAAGAGAUGAAGCAAGCAAAACAAGAAAACGUGUGAAGAGCUUUGCUGCCAUAUCAUCACUGUAUCAGAUAGUUUUAGGAUCGAUGAGUGAAUAGGAUGAAGACAGAAAUACAAGAGAUGGAGUAAUAAAAGCCAUGUAGUCCCUGCUCUUCAAGGAUCUCAUUCAGGAUCUAUUAAGGUAAUAUACAUACUUUUUUUGAUUUUAAUAAGCUUUACAUAAGUCAAAAAUCAUUGAAAAUUAAUAAAAGGAAAAAGAAUCACUCUGUUCAUAUUUGUUGGAUUAUAUCCACAAUAAACUUGUAAAAAAUGAAAACAGUAGAAAACAUUAAAACAGAUCCAAAUACUAAAUUUAUUCUAGACUUCAAGAUUACCUCAUUUUCUGCUUCAACAGAAGUGUGUGAUAUCAUGAACAUCAGACUUUUCCAAAGCCUUUAUUGAAAACAUUUCUAUUCCCAUCAUGGAAUACCGGAUCUUGCUUUCUUCUUGCAGCUCUUCCUUCUAGAGACAUGAAUCUUUGGACAAGCAGUUACGAAUAUCAGAGGGUACUCUGGAGUGUACCACCACCUGGGACACCAAAGGAUUACAGAUUGCUCUCAUGGGAACUGCUGGGUGAGGGGUGAUGAUGGGUCAGAAAAGCAUCCAGCUAAAGCAGAGUGCCCACGAGUGCCCCAGGGAUCAGAAGCAAGACCAAACAUCACUCUUCCAAACACAGAUUUCUGAGCUAACCUGUAUUUUCAGAUAGAACAGAUAGAUGUUAUUCUUACAGUGGAUUUUUAUCUGAAAAUAAAAUAAAGCAAGCAGAAGAGCUAUAGGAUUAGAUCCUCAUUCUGCAUUUCACCAAAGGAGAACUGAGGAAAAGACAGAUGGAGUGAUUUUCCGGGGCGAGUUGAGCCCUAGGUCGAAUUGGAUCUCCUGUGUUGUUCAGAGGUUGCCCUUUCCUGACUGUGAUGUGGAAGAAACACAGCCAUUAGCAGGCACCUGCAAAAAUGCUCCACCUGUUUUUGCUCAAAGUGACAAAGCCCAGAGGACGAUGUCUGUGUUCCCUGCCGGUCUGUAGGGAGCAUGAUGUAGCUGAUGCAAUUCCUGGCUCCAGCACACCUGCAAGGUCUCAUUGAUCUGCUGUUCAGUGCUCUGAAAACUCAGAAAUCUAUUAUCAGUGUGAGCAUGUGCUUAUUGAUCAGAUUACCUGCUUCUGCUCCCUGUGUGCACCUAAUAGUACUGGAGUAUGCACACACACACACAGAGGUAAAUAUUCACACACGUGUGCAUGGAUACAGGCACACACACCUGGGUUAGGGGCAUGUGUGUAUGAUAAAGGCUUUACUUUUUUUUUUCUUAGCUUUACAAAACUGCACAUAAAUAAAAAGAAUGGACCUUCCCUGUGAAACGUGAGCGCAGAAACACUCACAAGUGGCCAAGAGCUGCUAAAUAAUUAAUCAAUAGAGCAGUGUGGCAGUUUGAAAUGUAAAUGUGAUGGAUGAAGGUGUGAUGCUUGUCAUCAAGCAGAAAAUGAUGUGACUGGAAUGGAUAACCCACAGUACCUGCUAACUGGCAAAAGCUUGGACACAAAGAUAAAGUAAAGCCAUCAGAAAGCAGACCUGGCAACCCCUAAUUCUUGCCUUUGACCCACAAUUCACUUUCAUGUCUCUGUCCCAGAAGAGAUGUUUAAAAAAAUGAUGAAGAGAGAUCUUGGGGUGGGAAAGGGGUGAGAAAAAAACCAUCUGAAGAAAUGCUACCUGACAAGGCUGCAGGCUACGUUCUUGAGAACACCUUUCUUUUCUUUAUGUUCUCCUUCUCCUGUUAAAUAAAAAUGCGGCUCCUUUUUUCCCUUUCCUUUCUUCCAAAACUCUCCCGAGCCAUUCCUGCAAGUGGUUCUGUGACUCGGGAGCUGACAACAGCCGCAUGCAAAGGAACAAAGAAUAAGAGUGACAAUUCAGAGUGCACGCAGAUAGUCUUCCUUUGGUCACAAGAUGACAGUGAGAAUGGAUUGUCAAACUGGACCACUAUGACAAUUUACUCCGGGGGACAAAAUCCUGUGGGUGUUUAGAAGCUUUACUUUUACCAUCGGCUAAAGGUAAAACCCCUACACCAUUUUUUGCAUCACUUUAGAUAACAACUGCUUGGUUUGCAUCUGCACCAAAACAGAAGGAAGGUGGUGAAGGAGACUGACACAGCAUGAGAUCCUGCAGUAGACAGUGGCUGGUGACUCUCUGUCAGGAAGCACUGAAAUGUGGAUGGUAACUCUGACCCCAACACAAAGUCCCAUGUCCGUGGGGCUUGACAACAGAAGUGGUGCCCACCAGAGCGGGACAGAGGACAUGAUCAGAGAACCUCUGAAGAUCUUUUCUUCAUGAGUGCAAGACAAGAGUGAAAGACAAGGAAGUGCAGCCUAGUGAAGAAGUGUUCUCUCACAAUGUGGCACUACACUGGCAACUGUGGCUGUCAGCAAAGCACCUUCCAUUCUGACUGUUGACACUAAAGUGAAGAUAAGCUUUCAGAAAGGUUAGUACGCACCCUGACUUGGUUUAUUUUUGAGUCAUUUUUGAGUCAUUUAUGGCCUAGUUUCUUUGUCUCUGCCACUUCCUAGCAUGACAAGAGACCAGAGGCAGGUGUUGGGAUGGCACCAGUUUUUCUCAUUUAAUUUGUGAAGCACCAUAAAAAACAAUCAAUGAGCAUGGAGCGUGCUCUGGAUUUGUCUAAGUGUAAGUGGCUCAAACACUAACAUGUGAAUUUAGUAAAGUCUGUGGAAUGGAGAUAAAUUACAGCAGCAAUUGAAGUUGAAUGUGAUAUAGAAAUCCAACUAACAGAAGACUGUCUGGAAACAAUUAUUCAGAAAGCUGCUGACCCUCUAUUUCUUUAAAGAGUUAAACAUUUGGAUCAGUUAACUGGCAGCUGCAAUAAUAGGCAUAUGCUCUAAUCUUUGAUCCGUAGCUGAAUUUGCAACUCUUUGUAUGAGAAGCAGAUCACACAGAUUUGCAUAUUUUUAAGGAUCUAUAGGGAGAAAAAGAAGAACAAAACCUGCUUUUCCAAGACGCCACUUUGAGAUCACACAGAGUGUCAUGGGUCCCCUCAAGUACACUAAUGUUCAGAGCCAGUUGCAAGACUCACAAAUUUUAUAAAUGGCCCUAAACUGUGACAUUCACAUCUGAAGACUAAUCAAAAUUCCUCCUAGAACAGACUCUUGCAAGCCAAGGUUGCAUCAUAACUCUUCAGAGAGUUAUGUACGUCUAUCAUUAAGAUACCGUUUCCGCAUCCAAACUUGUGUCAGAACUUUCCUGAAAUAUUAAAGAGUCCAGAAGUAAUAGAUAAAUUAAAAACUGCUUUGUAACCAAAUGAGAAACUGUUGACUAGACUCAAAUACAUGAGCUAGUAACAGAUUUACGCCAAGGUCUUGACAUCUUCUUAGAUUUGGCAAAAUUUUUCAGUGCUGAUGAAAAUUCUGCAGAGAUAAGACAACCAAUUCUUUUGUGUUUAAAGUUCAUUUCUUGCUCAUCUCUGUUUUCAACACCAACUGAAAGAUGUUUACUUAUCACUCAUUUUGGAUCAACAGUCAUGCUUAUGGCACAGAAGAUUUCCUCCACUUAGUAGUAUUUCCUCAGAAAGUAGGUCCUACUGAGAGAAGUGAACAAUAUACUGAGUACUGUGAAGAAGUAAUCAUCCCUGCAAAUGUGCUCAAUUGUGUGGGAUGUUUCAACAUAGUCUUUACUCAAUUCACACUUUACAAUAGGCUUUCUCUCCGGGUUCACCUACACAACACUCUUUGACAUCAAUGAAGAUGAUGAGAGCAGCUAUUUGUUAUUUGUCUAUGGAUACUUCCUAUCAUCCCAAACAAAAGUGCAGACUACUGCAUGGGACUAUGCAGAGAUGUGUGAGGAAGACAAUGCAAAGAAAUCACUCUUUGAAAAAUAUUCUGUGUAGCUUCCUCAUAGUUCCCCACAGUAAGCCAUAUGGAGGCAUGAAGGAUUUGUAGAAGCCUGACUGACACAGGAGGCAGCACUUCCAGGCGCUAUCUGCCUUGUCCUGUGGAUAGGCAAGACUUUGUAAAGUCCUGGCAAAAAUCCCAUGAAGAGGAGAGGAAGGUGUUGCACAUUCCUGGGUAAGGUGUAGUAAGGGGGUGGGGUGAUGCAAUGGUGAGUGUGAUCAGACCACUGGCAGGUGAACCAGAACUUGAGCCAUGAGCAACAAUUUCAGUAUCUUAGAGAGGGAGAGAAUAAAGAAUAGCAUACAAGUUUUAAUGAGAAAAAUUGAUUGCUGAUGCAGAGGUUUUGAGAAGGGACCAGCACGUGCCCUAAUAGCACACAUGUUCCACACCAUAAGCAGAAUCCAAAGUAACCCAAAAGCCAAAACAAAGGUUUGCUGCUUUUUGUACCUUUCCAACAGCAUUAGUUGGUACUCUUCUGUCACCAGCAGGGCCAUGUAACAGACUUUUCAAAUUCUGGAAGCAUUAUUAAAAUAAAGGGCCAAGUCUUGCAUUGUUUCUUUAUUAGGAAGAGCUAUAGGUCUCUAUAGGACUAUUCUUUAUUGUUGUUUUGUAUACCUUUGGGUGCCUCUUCCUAAUGGCCUCUGAAAGAUUUCUGAUCUCCUAGAACCUUAUUUUUUAGGGCAUUGUGUAACCUGCUUGUUUUGUGAGAAGGCAGAGUGCAAAAAUGGAGAAAUAGAAAUUGCCUUAUGUGCUGUAUAGUAUGAUUUCAAUUACUUCACUUAGUUAUUGCUAACCAUAUUUUAUAAAUAUCGACACAUUAUAUUUGUUCCGGCCACUGAAAUGAUGCUUUCGAAGCAAUUAAAAUAUGUAUUCUGAUAUAUUUUGUCAAUAUUGCCAUUGUACAAAAUUGUAUCAUCUUAAGAAUUGCCUCCCUACAAUUUAUUCUCUGUAUCUUAACUUUGUACAGCACUACAAGAUCAUUUUUCUCAUGUGCUAAGUGGGAUUCUAGUAUAUCACUACAUUCAGUCAAAAUUUUGCAAGUUAAAAUAAGAAUACCUGUAGAUUAUGAAAAUGAGACCAAGAAAGUAGCCUUUCUCUUUACAUAAAGCAGAAAAACUGGCAGAAAAAUUCAGUAAAAGCAGAUUAGAAAAGGGGUGUUUGGGAGACAUUUCAUUAUUGUGGACUACAGUAAAACCAAAGCAUACCUCAAAUUAGAAUUACUUACCUUAAAUUAAAAAUGUUAAUAAGCCAAGACAUUAACAAGGAGAUGAUAUCACCUUAGUGGUUUGGUCUAAGGUAAUUGCCUAAACUCCCUCUGUAGUUGAGAGAGAAAGAGAGACCCCACCAGUAACAGACACUGAUUUUAAUAUGGCCAUGUGAGGUACCAUCCUAAAAUGGCCAUAUGAAAUGGUUGAACAGAGAUCUGGAGGUGCCACCCAUGACAGGGAAAGAAAAGUUACCUGAAACUAGAUAGCUAAUUCUAAGACAAUCACAGCAAAUUAUAAAGAAUCCUGCUCUGACAUGAAUUCCCAAAUUUUAGAAAAUGAAAAUCCCAUUUAAUUUAUAAGGUAUUUUCAUUUAUUAUAAACAGAUGCGCUAGGGAUGAACAUGCCUGUUUGUAUCUUGACAUAGAUUUCAUAGUCUGGACUUCAAAUGACAGCUCUGGAGUUAUGAAUCUUGAGAUAUAUUUUACUUCAAUUUAGGAAGUUCUAGGAAGCUCAGGCUCAUUUAUCUAUUCACAAAAGCCUAUGAUUAAUAGAGCUGUUUGGUGUCAGAUUUUAAUUCUUCAUUUGAAAUAAGAAAGUUAGUGAAAUAAGGAUACUCACAAUAGGCUUUCUACAGCCUUUCCUUUCAGAAAGCAAGGACAAACUCAACAGCAUAAGUGCUUUUCUCUUUGACGGAUGAAGUCAUGGAACUGAUUUCAGAUAUAGUUUCCGUAUCUGGGCCUUAGGCAAUUAUAGUGAGCAUCAAUCUCAUAUCCAUACCAUAUCAAAGGGAUGUUUGUCUGUGUCUCAAAUCAGACGUAUGUAUCUUUUGUGAAUGCAGUACAAAUUAAGCUAAUUUCUUGGGUUUGACUCUACAAACAGACCAAGUAAUGGUCAUCAAAGUUCAUUGAAAUAAGUUUUGUCACAAAGCUUAGUAGUGUUUGUGAGCAUGUGUUUUCAUAAAACUGACCUUCUUUUGAAAUAUGUGGAUUGAAGGCCAAUCUACACUGGCCAGAGAACAAAACAGGACAUGGAGAGUAUUUGCCCCAUUUCUGAUGUUCUAGUUCUGUCCUUCAAAAUAAUUAAAGACUGGAUUUGCCAUACGGCAGUUUUCGGUUUCUCAAAACAGAAAGGGAGUGGGAAGAAACAGAAAUAAAAAUAUAUAAAAGAAAGAGCAGAAAAGAGAAAGGAUUGCUCCAGCCCUCCAACUUCCCUUUAUCAAAGGCAAAAGACCAAAGGGCUUUCACUUGUCUGAAGACUAGACCACGGGCUAGGAUACAAACCCUGGUCCCCUUGCGUUGUGAUGCUGAGCACUCAUCCUACCCCUUUGCUGUGGCAUGUCAGAGGGUGGAUUGCCACAGCACUAGGGAAGGGUAUCCUGCAGGACCAGCUCCUCACCUGACCCUCUGCCUAGGGACAGUGCCAGUUUGCAUCAGUGAGAAUUUAACCCACCUGUGACAGAUGUAGUGCAGAUGAAUGACAUUGGGCUCAAUAAACCAGUCAAAUAAGAUGUGCUGAGAGUGGCUGUAGUAACAUACAGAAAUAUCCUUCAGUGAAACAGCAAAAGAGUACCAGUUGAGAGACAAGCCUCACCGGUUGAUGAGUAUUAAACCUAGGCUGGACUUUGCACAAAAGCAUUACAGCGAUCCCCACAAAUCCAUACACAAUGGGCCAGGAGAAGAGUGCAACAAGCUAGCAGAGGAGCUAAAUUAAUCUCUUGCAUCGUGUCUGCUGCUGAGAGUAGUGUAGAAAUUCCUGUGCCAAAGGCACUUUGCAAAGAAAAUCAGAGUGUGGCCUUUAUACAGAUUGAAGUCUCUAAGGAGGAAGUUGUAGAGUAACUUGAGAAACUCAAGUGCAGUAAAUCACCACAACCGGAUGGUGUUCAUCUGGGAGUUCUGAGGGGAAAUAAAGCGAGAAAAAGCCAAGAUACUGACAAGAGGAUGCCUUCUUCCCUUGAAAAAUGCAUCAGCACAAGAAGGCUGGGAAGCCCUAUUAUGCUGCCUGUCUUCCAAAGGAGAUGAGGAAAAUCCUGGGAAUAGAAGAGCUUUGAAGUUUGCCACAGUUUUAGGGAACCCAAAAAACCAGCUCUGAAUAACAGCUCAAGAGAGAGUUUGCUGGAUAAGAAGACCCCAUGAAGAUGAUCUUCAGUCUCCCAAACCACUAAGGCUGUUACAAAGGGGGAAAGUGCACUGGGUAACUUUGAAAAACCAGUGGAGAAGCCUUCAGAGGAAGAGUGGACUGACAGGGAAAAGGUGACCAAAUGAUCCAAAUAUUCUAAAGGUUUUACAGGGGUCACUUUUAAGCAAUUGUCACAAAGAAUAUUAAGAAACAAAACUGAGAAUAAUACUUGAUGAUGAUUUGAUGCUGGAAUGAACUAUAAAUCAGUCUGGAAGAAGUGAAUAUGGAAGCAUUUCUCUUUCUAUUGAGACAAGUAAAGGUGAACACCCAGUAGUAGGUAUCAGGACUAGUGUCAUAACAAAUAAAUGAGUCUGAAUUCCAAAUCCUAAUGCAUUCAAAUUAGUGUAUCCAGAAUCCACUCAAGAUCUGGAUUCAAGUCACACAUGUGGUUCCCAUCUUAAAAGAGGACAAACCAAUUCCUGAGUUGAAACUCCUGAGGUUUGUGCUCUGAGGUUUGAAUACUCCAUAUUCAAAGACUCCAGCUUACAUGACAGUUAUGUAUGAAAUAUGGGGGGCUGGAGGAGUGCAUGUGUACACAUAGCAUGCAAAGGAAGCAAUUAAAAGUAAACCCAAAACAAUUUAAAAAGUGAUUCAUGGAAAAAAGUGCUCUGAUGCAGAGACUGUAAGUGUUUGUUCUUUACAUUAACUUGCUGCAGCUAGCUGAAAGGGCAGAAGAUUACAAGUAAUAGGACAGUGGAAAUUUUGCUGGGUUUGGUGAGCCCGCUUACAAUCAAACAUUUUAAAUUAUCUGGAUUUACAUGGCUUUGUACCCUUUCAUUUUCUCUCCUCGUUUUUUUCUGUUCCUGUAGGCCCAGUGUACUGAAGGCAAAGCUUCUUCAGUUUUAAUUCACUUUGUCUUUUGAAUUCAUUAGAUUUUGAAAGCUUUCAAAGGAAGUCACAGGUAGGCAUUAGAGAAAAUAUAGAAAGUGGGACACUUCUGACUGUUGUAUGUUUCCAGUGUCUAAAAAGAAAGGGUUUUUUUUAAACCAAACUGUAGGAGGGUUCACAAAAAUAGAUAUUUACAUUUACAUACUGGGACAGAUUCUCAGCUGCCAUGGAGCAGCAUUACUCCAUCUUCUUGAACAGAGCUAAUCCUAUUCAGCACAGCUGGCUCUCACACGUGUAUAUAUGUGUGGAAUAUGUUCAAGAUUCUUUAUAUUUCCAAAUAUACAGAAAGCUGCUUCUCCCUCCAGGUGCUUUUGCCUGUGCACUAAAUAGUGGGAGUUUUAACUGAGGGUGGUGUCUUCAGGGAGGCAGGGUGCAAAGGAAUGUUGAAGUGUAAGGAGAGGGAUGCAUGAACAAAGGAACUGGCAUGAACAUAGAAACCCAGAGAAGAAGGUGAGGGAAAAAGGAAGGAAAAUGGUAUCCUACAUAGCCAUGCUGUGCCAAGCAACAUCUGCAUUCACAGCAACAGGGAGUUAAACUAUGCUUGUGCAGCAACCAUGUCUUUUGGAAAACACCUCAGGUGUUUACAGCUAGGUAGCAGGAAAAACAUGAGACCUGCUAAUGAUAGCAAGGUGGAGAAAAAGGAGCUCUGCGCUCAGCUGUGCUGUUGCAGGAGUCACGUAACACAGGACAGAGAGUAGGUGUCAUAUCAGAUAGUGCUAAUAGGUACCAAUAGCCACCUUCACCCCUUUCCCCUCAGUCUCUCCCUGCACCAGAGUCAAGUGAAUAUCAAUGUGAAACAACUGUGUAUGACCGUGUUCUUCUGCCCACACAGUGGGACCCUGGUAGUGAUUCAGACUGUACUGGACUCUGGACACAUAAUAUACACUGAAUAUCCAUAAUAAAUAAUAAUUACCACAGUAGGGGGCAGCAGCCAGCUGUGGAGGAAGAGUAGGGCCAGCUGCUGGAAGAAAUGUAGGCACUGGCUGAGCAUGCAAGCUGGGCACUGGGGAGGGCAAGAGGGCCAUGGCUGGGAGCCAGUGGCAGCUUACUGCCAAGAAGAGGGAGAUAAAAGCACAAAAGAGUUUCACCAGAGGGAGCUGCUCCUGGCCACCCCUCAGCAAUCGGUAGCGGCCCUGAUCCAGGAGGGAAGGCCGAAGGCAAACAGGAGCAUCGCCAGCCUGAGUGCGUGGCCAACACUGCUCACACAUACCAUGCUGGAGCUAGCAGGAUGGGUGUCUGUAAGCCAAGCAAGCCUGCUGCAGGGAAACAGCCUUGCACAGACCUGCUUGCAGGAGACCUACACCUCCUCCAGAAAUGAGGACAGACCCAUCCUGUUCCCCUCAACAUCUCCCCAGAUGCACCUCCAGCAAAAGCAGGGUCAAUACUCCAGAAAUGAGUGCAGCUCCAAAAGAGACUGAUAGGCACAUGGCCAAUGCUUUACUGAACCCCCUGAUGGUCAGAUCUCCUUAAUUUCAUUUACAGAGAAAUGUUCUGGCAGCUCUGAAGAUCCCCAAACAGAGCGCUAUUACUUGUCUGAAUUUCUCGGAAGGCCUGAUGCUUAGCGCUUGGGUUCCCCAGGUCGUAUGGUAAACAAAAAACUGCUUUUGAACACACUGCACACACUCAGCAGCCCAGUCAUCUAGUACAACUAAAAUUUAUCAUAGAUUUAAAAUAUUUUUCUAACCCCUCUGAAAAGUAAUUUCUAAGACCAAAUCAGCUUUCCAGUCUCAUUUUCCCAAGGCCAUUCGUAGCAUGAUCCUCACACACCAGCUUCUAAACAAGAGCCAACAGCAUCACAGGAUCAGCUCCCCUAUUUGCCCCAUAUGGAAUACUUAACUCUUUCACCAGCACAGCAUAACAAUUACUUAGCACGUUCUCUGUAAUAAUUUUAACAAUGUGGCACUUUUCCCUUGAAUUUAGCUUAGUGAAAUUUAUCUUUACUUAUAUUCAUGUCUUACCUUCAAGUGUGCUUUCUGUGCCUGGUUAUUUUUCACUGAGUUCAAUUUCAAAUAGAUAAAACCUGUUUGCUUUUCUCUCCCAAGAAGGAGCAUGUGUAUUUCCAGAUUCUAUUCGCAUCCACCAGGAAAAGUCACACUCAACAAAUGAAGCUUGGUUGGCUUUUUUUGCUGUGUUCCUGGUUGGUUGAGCACAGGGGGUGUGAUAUGGGUGAUGUUAAAGGAAAGCUGCUUUUCCUCCAUUUUUCAACAUAGAGGCUGACGGAUUUUUCAGUCCCAAUGUAAAGAAAGAGCUACCAUCUGAAUCUCAGUUUAUGUAGCCCACAAGAGAGUGAAGAAAUUGAUAGAGGACAUCCCAGGCAAAUAGGGUAUGGUAUCAGGGAGAAACAUCCAUCACUUUUGCGGGUAGUAGACAAGCAUAAUCCAUGUGUGAGCUCAAAUGCAAAUUCAUGGGCAACAAAAAGCCUGUAUGUUGAACAUAUACACAGUUCAAACAUAAAGAACCAGAUUCUUUCUGAAUAACUUAUAUCUGAACAUCUGACCUUAAGAACCAGCCUCAGCUAAGUGCUGGCAAACACCGACAUUUGGAAGGAAGUUAGGGGUGUUGCACUAUUUUGAAAGCUCUGUUUUGAACCAGCUGUCAUUGCGAAUGUCUGCUGGUACCCUGUCUUAGCAUACAGACUGUCACGGUUGAGCAUAAUGAGAAUGAGCCAAUGGAGUAUAUUGAGCUAUGCUUUCUUGCAUGUCCUUGUAGCCCAAAUUAUCCCUUCACACAGCCAUAACAGGUAAGCUUUGAAUCUAUUUAUGCCACAUUCUAAUUGGUUCCAUUUAAUUUGUGUAUAUGUCUCUCUAUGUGUGUUUGUAUAUACAUAUAUGCAUAUUUAUAUGCACAUAUGUAUGUUUGGACAUCAUUAUUAAAAGUAAAUAUGCAUAUUGUCACAGAUUAUUGCUAUGUACAUAACAGAUUCUUAGAGUAGUUGGCUUUAUUAUACAAUAAAACCAUAGAAAUGUAUUGUCUUCUUUAGAAUAAAUAAGGAACACAGGACUCAUUGUACCAUAUACAUUUAAUAGUUUGGACAUCUCAGUGCCCACAUAAAAACAAGGAAACAUAUAUUGCAAUAGGCAGUAUAAUUAUUUCAGCGAGGAACAUCCAUCCCACACUCCUAGAAAUAUGAGAUUCAGCAUCACAAGAUUCUAGAAUUAUGUCAUCAGCUGCACGAGUUUCACAGCUUAUCUUUAUGAUUUUAUGUUACAGAAGUAAACUCCAACAAAAAUGUUUAACACUGCCAAUCUAACAGCACAUUCAUGUUAAUACUAGCUGUAAAGAUUUCAAAAAGGUGAAUAGCAUCAGCAUUUCUAUACAUAUGUGUGCACUUAAGUAUAUAUAUACAUGUAUACACACACAUUCACGCAUAAAUGCACACAUAUAGGUGUGUGCUAUGUAUAUAACCUGUCUUUAGAUAUGCCAUUAUUUUAAAAGGUUGGUUCCAAGUACACUAAACUUGACAACAAUGUUCUAUACAGCUGGCCAACUUAAAGAAAUCCCUGCUGGUGCACAGAAGAUCGAGCUAGCUGGGAUCAUUAAACAUCAUCGGAUGAGGCUGCAGGUAGCUGAAAUGUUCCUUAAUGAAAAUUUAAAGAGAGCAGAUUAAAAUUAUAUUCCUCCAAUCCAACAGAACACAAAGGUAAAGACAGUCAAUUACAA